AUCAGGCUGAAGCUUGGCACAUAAAUUAUCGGCGUGGAUGCAAAUUUUCCUCUAAAUAAAAUGGAUUAAGUGAGGUAUCAUCACCAUCACACUCCCUAUUCUUGGUCCUGCAAUGACCACUUUUCAGGCUCACAGGCUGGCCCUGCUUCAGACAUGCUCAGGCUGGUCCUGGCCCAGGAUUCUACAAACCAUCCUUUGAUUAUAGCAGGGCCUCACUGUUGGAAGAUUCCAUGGCCCCUGCGCAGCAAGAUGAAAAACUGGCUGUCAUUUGGGCAAUGGAAUUUACCUGGAAAAAAGAUUAUUGGAAAGAUAUGCCUACAUCUGCCACAAUAUGCAUUAAAAAAAUCCUAAUUCAGAAUAAUUUAUGCUUACAACUUAGGCCUGACUCUGCUGGUCAUUCUACACCUGACUUACUAAGAAAUGCAAAAGAGUAAAGUUCUCAUUAUGAACAUCUAUGU